GGCCCGGUAGCGGAUGGUCCGCACCUGUAUAUAAUGACCGCCACAUUUGAGCUUCUGUAGGAGUCGCUCGUUCGAAUCGAGCCUGGGCCA